UCUGCUCCAAAGUUCUCGCUCUCUAUGCCAGUGGUCCCACAAUCCCAGCCACAGCACUGUACGGCAACAGUCCCACACUCCGCACCACAGCACUUCACGUGAGAGGUCCCACACUCUGCGCCACACCACUUCACACCACCGGUCCCAAUCUCCAACCCACAGCACCCCACGCCAGCGGUCCCGCACUCCACGCCACAUCACUUCACAGCACCGGUCCCAAUCUCCGACUCACAGCACCCCAGCCAGCGGUCCCGCACUCCACGCCACCGGUCCAAAUCUCCAACCCACAGCACCCCACGUCAGCGGUCCCACACGCCACACCACUUCACGCCACCGGUCCUAAUCUCCAACCCACAGCACCCCACGCCAGCGGUCCCGCACUCCACGCCAACGGUCCCAAUCUCUGACUCACAGCACCCCAUGCCACCGGUCCAAAUCUCCGACUCGCAGCAUCCCACGCCAGUGGUCCCGCAGUCCACGCCACAGCUCUUCACGCCCACAGGACAGCUCUCCACACCAGCGCUCCAGCUCUUCUUAUGAGUUCUCCCAAAGACCAGCUAGGGGGAACCAGCACAGAGAGGGUGGAGAGCUAUUCCUAUUAGAUAAUGGAAAAUUCCAAAGGCGGGUCCUUUAUCUUCUUUCUGAUAUUCGGGCAAAGCUGUCAGAGGUGGGCCAAAACCGUGAGCCCCCAGAGUCUCAGUUCCACCUUGAGAAAAUGAACAGCAGGCGUGAGCUAAAAAAUCUGGAAGGGCAACUGGCCGUUGAAGAAAAGAGGAAUGUGAUGGUCAGUAUAACUAUGCCAGGCCAAUACUAAUACUGUUUUUUUCUGUGUUUCUGAUGGUGAAAAAAAUUAAAAUUUCAAAAUCUUUUCAGGUGUCUCGCUUAGUCAGGAUUGGGGGUGCAGACCUUGAGGACUGUGUAAAAAAUAUGAUGAAAAGGUAAAUGAUACCAUGCUUUGGUGCAUUUCUCAGAUGACUCAUGAGUUCAUUCACUCAGACACGCAGAAGAGCCAGAUGGCAUGUUUAAAUAACAGGAUUCGCUGUCCACAAGCCCGAAUCUGCUUAUAUGGACUCAAUGCAGCCGGACAACAAGUUUUAAUCGCAAAAUAGACUAAAACUAAGUAAAAUAGCAGUUUGCCAAAACGUUGCAUGGUACGGUACGGCUUCCUUCGGCUCACUUUAAAUUAGGGCUGUAAUCUCCCAGUCGAUUAUUUGUUCGAUACGCUCUGGCUCGACUAAAAUUCUGAUUGGUCAAUUUUUUGCUGCAUUCAUUUCAUCAGUGUUGCCGUGUUCAUUUCAAAAGUUCCGCAUUCGUUUUAUCAGUUUUGCCGCAUUCGUUUUUGGGUUAGCCCAACCCACUGGAGAAGAGAGACCGAUUGAAGAAAGUUGGCUACUAGAAGAUUUGCUGAUUAAUGCUGAAUAUUAUUUAUUUAAUUGUGAGAGUGUUUCAUUCACAGUCAGAUUUUUAUUCUAUUCACCAGUAGCAGUUUCCAUGUUUCAUUAACAGUUCUUGGUGUAUUCACCAUGGUAACUCUCGUUUCCAUAUUAACCCCAAAAUGCUACUUUAUUGUCAUUUUGUGUUUUAUAUUGUUAAAUGCCUGUGGUGGCUCAUACCAUAGGGUUCGUACAGGUGCUUGAAAUCCUUGAAAGUGCUUGAAUUUUGAUGUUGUGUUUUCAAGGUUUAAAAAGUGCUUGAAUUUUGGAUAAAAUGCUUGAAAAUGCUUGAAUUUGUAACUGUAUUUCUUUCACAAGGAAUAUCUUUCUGACAAAAUAGUUCUUUAUUAAAUGGAGAAAAAAAAUGUAGCC
ensembl:lncRNA